UACAUUGAAGCCCGCUGGUUUGGGUUUUUAGUUGUUAACUAAAGGUUUUCGGGGUCGAGGCCCGUCAAUCUAU
rnacentral:tRNA from 1 species